AUGGCCGCCAUGUUCUGCUCACCGUCCCCUCACCCUGUCCGCUGCGCACGGUGGGGUGUUGCUCCAGGACCUUGCUUCAGACGUGUUGCCCUGGAUGUUAAUUUUGAUCAAAAUUCAUACAGAUUUUGACGACAGAUUAAAUGUGUGGUCUGAGUGCAAGAGAUGAGUCAAGAAUGAC